rnacentral:rRNA from 1 species
AGUGAACGCUGGCGGUAUGCCUAACACAUGCAAGUCGAACGGCAACACAGUAAGAGUGUUCUCUUGCGGUUGGCGACUGGCGGACGAGUAACGCAUACAUCGCAUUCUUCUUUUUCUUGGAUAACAUCUAGGGACACGUACGCAUACACCGCAAUUUAUCUACCGGUGAAGUUCAAUGGUCAUAGGACCUUUUGCUAUUGCAUAUGGCUAUGUCCGAUUAGCUAGUUGGCGGGGUAAAGGCCUACCAAGGCCACGAUCCGUAGCUGGUCUGAGAGGAUGAUCAGCCACACUGGAACUGAGACACGGUCCAGACUCCUACGGGAGGCAGCAGUGGGGAAUAUUGGGCAAUGGGCGAAAGCCUGAUGCAGCAAUGCCGCGUGGGUGAAGAAGGCCUUCGGGUUGUAAAGCCCUGUUAUUGGGAAAGAAAAAAAGCAGGUUAAUACACCGAUGUUUUGACGGUACCCAAAGAAUAAGCAACGGCUAACUUCGUG